rnacentral:rRNA from 1 species
UACGUAGGGGGCAAGCGUUGUCCGGAAUCAUUGGGCGUAAAGAGCGCGUAGGCGGCCCUGUAAGUCCGCUGUGAAAGUCAAGGGCUCAACCCUUGAAUGCCGGUGGAUACUGCAGGGCUAGAGUCCGGAAGAGGCGAGUGGAAUUCCUGGUGUAGCGGUGAAAUGCGUAGAUAUUGGAAGGAACACCGGAGGCGAAAGCGGUGUACUGGGGCUGGUCUGACGCUGAGGCACGAAAGCCAGGGGAGCGAACGGG